UUUUCCUGCUGCCAUCCAUGUAAGACAUGACUUGCUCCUCCUUGCCUUCCACCAUGAGACUUUCCCAGCCAUGUAGAACCUCAGAAAACUUACAAUUAUGGUAGAAGGAAAGGGGAAGCAAGGCACCUUCCUCACAAGGCAGCAGGAAGGAGAAGUGCCGAGCGAAGGGGUAAGAGCCCCUUAUAAAACCAUCAGAUCUUGUGAGAACUCCCUCACUAUCACAAGAACAGCAUG
rnacentral:lncRNA from 1 species